rnacentral:tRNA from 3 species
UUAAAGUUAAUUCAGCAAUUGGAUAAAUGUAUUUGAAACAUUAAUUUUUAGCAAAAGCUAGGCUUUAAG